rnacentral:rRNA from 1 species
GUGGCGGACGGGUGAGUAACACGUAAGAAUUUGCCUUUAGGAGGGGGAUAACAGCUGGAAACGGUUGCUAAUACCCCAUAUGCUUUCGAGUGAAAUGGAUUUCCGCCUAGAGAGAAGCUUGCGGCUGAUUAGCUUGUUGGUGAGGUAAUGGCUCACCAAGGCGACGAUCAGUAUCUGGUUUGAGAGGACGAUCAGACACACUGGAACUGAGACACGGUCCAGACUCCUACGGGAGGCAGCAGUGGGGAAUUUUCCGCAAUGGGCGAAAGCCUGACGGAGCAAUACCGCGUGAGGGAUGACGGCCUAUGGGUUGUAAACCUCUUUUUUCAGGGAGGAAUCAAUGACGUGUACCUGAAGAAUAAGCAUCGGCUAACUCCGUGCCAGCAGCCGCGGUAAGACGGAGGAUGCAAGUGUUAUCCGGAAUCACUGGGCGUAAAGCGUCUGUAGGUGGUUUAAUAAGUCAACUGUUAAAUCUUGAGGCUCAACCUCAAAAU